GCGUGGAGCAUGUGGCUUAAUUUGACUCAACGCGGGAAAUCUUACCGGGUCCGGACACACUGAGGAUUGACAGGCAAUAUAUGUGACUCUUCGGAGUUUGCAUUGUUAAAUAUGCUAGUCCUUUCAUGAUUAUGUGAUAGGUGGUGCAUGGCCGUUCUUAGUUCGUGGAGUGAUCUGUCUGCUUAAUUGCGUUUCAAAUUACUUAUAAGGUAGCAAUACGCGAUGAAGCUUUCAAUAGUCCUCACGGAUUCACUUGAGUCUCUCGCUUCGCUAUCCUUUCGAAUGCAACGAACGUGACCGCAACCUCUUGUUGCCUUCGUUUAACAUCCUGCAGCUCGCUGUGGGUACUGAGGGCUUCACUCGGUGACUUUGGGCUGAGCAAUCGGUCU
rnacentral:rRNA from 1 species